GACGAACGCUGGCGGCGUGCUUAACACAUGCAAGUCGAGCGGUAAGGCCCUUUCGGGGGUACACGAGCGGCGAACGGGUGAGUAACACGUGGGUGACCUGCCCGUCAGCUCUGGGAUAAGCCUGGGAAACCGGGUCUAAUACCGGAUAUGACUCCAUGACGCAGUGUUGUGGGGUGAAAGCCUUGUGCGGCUGAGGAUGGGGCCCGCGGCCUAUCAGCUUGUUGGUGGGGUNAUGGCCUACCAAGGCGACGACGGGUAGCCGGCCUGAGAGGGCGACCGGCCACACUGGGACU
rnacentral:rRNA from 1 species